UACGGAGGAUGCGAGCGUUAUCCGGAUUUAUUGGGUUUAAAGGGAGCGUAGAUUGGCUGUUAAGCCAGGUGUGAAAAUCGCGGGCCCAACCCGCGUCGUGCAUUUGGAACUGGCAGUCUUGAGUAGGUUCGGGGCAGGUGGAAUUCGUGGUGUAGCGGUGAAAUGCAUAGAUAUCACGAAGAACUCCGACAGCGUAGGCAUCCUGCCAGGCCCUAACUGACAUUGAAGCUCGAAGGUGCGGGUAU
rnacentral:rRNA from 1 species